UCUGAAUUGCUUCUCCCAUUUCCUCUCUGACCAUCUGGAGAGCCCUCCAUUCCUGAGGAAUCGUUCCCUGGAACAACAAGGACAGGAGGAAUCCGACCCAGGAAGCCCCGACCUGGGGCCUGGCAGGGGCUGCUGCAGGCAGGCUCUGACAAGAGAGUUCUCUGAGUCAUAAACUCUCCCCUAGGAGGACGUUUGUGACAGCCAGGUCAUCCUGGGCCAGAGAGAUAAAGCCACUUGGCCAAAGCCACUCGACUGAGUGAGCACACGUUGUCAUUCUCUGUUCUGAACAUGAGGAUCCGCCCCUCACCUCGGUUGCCUGGGAGUCUGGGGUGGGCAGCAGUGGGGCCCGGAAGCUUCCCGUCUGUAGCCCAUGGUGGACCCAAGGACAAAGCUUAGAGGGUACCCAAGCCAGUAACAUGGCCAAAGUCACCCCAUGGACCUGGGCUGGUGAAGAUGCCAGGCUUCCCCGUCACUUGUCCUUGGAAGGGAUCCCAGAUGGUCCUUCUUCUUCUCGGCAGUGCUGAUUUUCAAUUCAGAAUUGAGGGUGGGUAUGUUGGGGAGUGACUCCCAGGCCACAUGCCUGCACCCACCCUGCAAGGGAUGCUGGGAAAGUGAGUUUCCAGUGUUUUCAGCUUCUGCGCUGGAAGGCGGGACUCUCCAGUAGAAGAAGGGGCUUCAGAUGCUGGGAGGCCCAAAGCAUUCAAAAGUCCUUCCCACAUAGGGGCCAUCACUAAGAUGGCCCUGGAGUGUGACUGUGAGUCCAGUGCUGUACACACCUGGCAGGGAUUACUGAUCUGAAGGACCCUUCAUGAGACAUGGGAAAGACACCUGUCCUUAAGAGGCCUGACCCAGCUACGAGUUCCUGAUACCUGGGACCGUCACUGACCGCACAGAUUCAUCAAUCUAGACACUUCUAGCCCAGCACAGUCUCCUUUGAAUGAAAGUUCUGCCGUUAAGGACUCAAAUCCAGUCCGUUCAGGAGUUCUGCCCCUUCUUCCUGGGAAGCUGCACAACUUCCAUGGAGCUUGCAUCCCUCCCUGUGUGAUCUUUGUGGCCUUUGGUCAUCCACGCCUGUCCUCCUUGUACCUGCCCAGAAGCCACUAUGACCUUUGGCCUCUGUUUGCCAGGGUUAUGCAAUCAACUCUGCAGCUGCCUAACCAGAACUGUGCACCCCUUCGGUCCACCAGUCUGCUCCUGGCCAUACCUGCAUCCACUUUGAAGGAGUAGAAAUUUCUGGGUUCUCGCCAGGUGCUGUGGGGCAUCCUGUCAUCCCAGCGACUCAGGUGGCAGAGGCAAGAGGAUUCCAAGUUCAAAUCCAGCCUCAGCAACUUAGCAAGCCCCUAAACAACUUCGAGAGACCCUGUCUCAAAAGAAAAAAGAAAAAGGACUGAGAUGGGGCUCAGUGGUUGAGCACUCCUGGGUUUAAUCCCCAGUACAAAAAAAAAAAAAAAGAAAUUCUGGGUUCUCCUCCUUGUGACACUCAUGUGGAAGGAGUCGGGGGUGUCGGGGGGCAGGUGGCUAGCUCACCUUCCAUCUACUGAGGCCUCUCCGUCCCCAGGCCACACACCUGCUAAGGGAGGUGCACGUUGACCCCCGCAUCCUUCAAGUGUACCCAGGGGCUUCUCUCAUGCCACCUAGACCCCCUUUGGCCCACAUCUGUGUGAGGGUUGUGACACUGUCCCUUCUCUCCCACCUGCAGGUCAAGCCUCUCUCUGCUUUUGGGUGGGAUCUUUGCUUCUGUGGUGACGCAGGCUUCCCUUCACCAGGGCUUAGGGCAUCAGCUGUCUGCUCUUCAAGUUCAAAGCAAGGCUUCUGGACUGACAAAAAAGAUUUCUCUUUCAAAACCCGGCUCUUGUAGGGCUAUAGUCUCAGCUCUGGGUUUCAAAGCCUCUUUUGCAACUCAGAGCCAAGGGUUUGACUCUUUGUUCUGGUUUUCCCGUGGAGAGCAGGAAUCAGAGGGAGCCAACUUAGCAUCUGAAUGGAGAAGAAUGGAUAUAAGGAAAUUGUCUAGAAGAACAAUGGUUAAUACCCUCAAAUGAUCUCAAAUGAUCAGAACCUUAUCUCCCUGUUGUUUCAUGUUAAUCCCUCAGGGGCAGGGGCGCCCAUGGAAGACCUGGCACUAGGGUGAAGGGAGCAGGGCACUUGCCCCCGAGGGAUGAUAUUUAAAGUGCAAACAACAACAACUUCAUAAUCAAGUAAUAGUUUGAUGUAAUCUGUGUGUGUGUGUGUGUGUGUGUCUUGGAUUUGAUUCUGGGGCUCCUCUACCACUGAGCUACAACCCCACCACCUGAUUCAAUCAUUUUUUAAAAAUAAAAAUGAAUGCCAAAACUUCA